rnacentral:rRNA from 1 species
UACGUAGGGGGCUAGCGUUGUCCGGAUUUAUUGGGCGUAAAGAGCGUGUAGGCGGCCAGGUAGGUCUGCUGUGAAAACUCGAGGCUCAACCUCGAGAUGUCGGCGGAAACCAUCUGGCUAGAGUCCGGAAGAGGGAAGUGGAAUUCCUGGUGUAGCGGUGAAAUGCGCAGAUAUCAGGAAGAACACCCGUGGCGAAGGCGGCUUUCUGGGACGGUACUGACGCUGAGACGCGAAAGCGUGGGGAGCGAACAGG